rnacentral:lncRNA from 1 species
AUGACCCACCAAACACACACCUAUCAUUUCGUCAAACUCAGCCCUUAACAAGGGCUCUCUCCUCUCUCCUAGUUACAUCCAGCUUAGCUAUAUGAUUUCACUUUAACUCUAUUACUCUUUUAACCUUAGGCCUACUAAACAAUACACUGACUAUAUAUCAAUGGUGACAUGACAUUAUCUGAGAAAGUACAUUUCAAGGCCACCAUACAACAAUUGUCCAAAAAGGCAUCUGAUAUGGAAUAGUACUAUUUAUUAUCUCAGAAGUAUUUUUCUUUGCUGGAUUUUUCUGGGCAUUCUACCAUUCUAGUCUAGCCCCAAUUCCAGAACUAGGAAGACACUGACCCCCAACAAGCAUUUCUCCCCUUGACCCUCUGGAAGUACUCCUCCCGAAUACAUCUGUAUUACUUGCAUCAGGGGUUUCAAUUACCUGAGCCCAUCACAGCCUAAUAGAAAAUAAUCGAAAACAAAUAAUUCAAGCACUACUUAUCACAAUUACCUUACGUAUUUACUUCACCCUCCUACAAGUCUCAGAAUACUUUGAGGCUCCCUUUGCUAUUUCUGAUGGAAUUUAUGGCCCAACAUUCUUUACACCUACAGGCUUUCACGGACUUCACAUCAUUAUUGGAUCAACAUUCCUCACUAUCUGUCUCCCCUGCAAAUUAAAAUACCACUUUACAUCUAGCCAUCACUUUGGCUUUGAAGACGCCACCUGAUAUUGACACUUUGUAGAUGUAGUAUGACUAUUCUUGUAUAUUUCUAUUUACUGAUGAGG